rnacentral:rRNA from 1 species
UACAGAGGGUGCGAGCGUUGUUCGGAAUUACUGGGCGUAAAGCGCGCGCAGGCGGCUUCCUAAGUCUGUCGGUCAAAUGCCGGGGCUCAACCCCGAGCGUGCCGGGGAUACUGGGAGGCUGGAGACAGGUAGAGGCAAGCGGAAUUCCGGGUGUAGCGGUGGAAUGCGUAGAGAUCCGGAAGAACACCGGAGGCGAAGGCGGCUUGACUGGACCUGGUCUGACGCUGAGGCGCGAAAGCGUGGGAGCGAACAGG